AAUGUUGUCAUUGUUGGAUUCAUGGGAAGC
rnacentral:piRNA from 1 species